ACCCAUUUGAAGAGUCCCAAAUAGAACGAAACGCGCGUCCUGGUU
rnacentral:hammerhead_ribozyme from 1 species